rnacentral:rRNA from 1 species
UUAGUGGGCGAAACGGGGUGAGUAAACACGUGAGUAAACCCUGCCCCUCCCACUCUGGGAUAAGCCUGGGGAAAACUGGGUCUAAUACUGGAUAUGACGCAUGCUCGCAUGGGUGUGUGUGGAAAGAUUUUUGGUGGGGGAUGGGCUCGCGGCCUAUCAGCUUGUUGGUGGGGUGAUGGCCUACCAAGGCGGUGACGGGUAGCCGGCCUGAGAGGGCGACCGGCCACACUGGGACUGAGACACGGCCCAGACUCCUACGGGAGGCAGCAGUGGGGAAUAUUGCACAAUGGGCGGAAGCCUGAUGCAGCGACGCCGCGUGGGGGAUGACGGCCUUCGGGUUGUAAACUCCUUUCGCCAGGGACGAAGCUUUUGUGACGGUACCUGGAGAAGAAGCACCGGCUAACUACGUGC